rnacentral:lncRNA from 1 species
UUGGUGAUAUUUUGUCAAAUUUUUAUUUGAAUUCACAGACUUUUAAUAACAAUUAAAUUCUGUAAUGAAUUAUUUAUUACAGUUGAAUGUAUUACGUAAACUUUUCAUACUUCAUUGAACCAAAAAGAGUUUCUGUUAACUCUUCUACCUUUUUAAACAGUUAUCCGAAGCCGUCUGCCGCCUAUUUUGCAAUCACCUAAGAAACCGUUCAACAAAUGUUUCUCGUACUUUAGAAUUUCUAGUUUUUAGUUAAAUGGAAGAUUGCACUUAAUUAAUUAUUUUUGUCUAAAUGUCCUUUAUACGUGUACUUGCUUGCACGAGUAACCACCGAUAAUGAUAUUGAUUGAAACCUUAACCAGUUCAAAGGACAUAUAAUGAUAAUCAAAUGAGCCUUCGAGUUUCCAAUUUUUCAAUCCUUUUAUUUUUGUAAGAAUAUCUGACCAUGUCAACAACAAUGGUCGCUCUUUCUGGUGAUAAAAACUUUGCAAAAAGUUGCGUCGAAAGUACUCUACGACAAGUAUGAAUGACUGUUGUUUUUAUUUACUUAUUUUUAACAAGCCAACAAUGUUUUUAAAAUGCAGCAUACCGUUAAAUCACUUCAACCGCAUUGCAGCUCUUCGUCUUAUAGUAGUAGUAGUAUUUGGUAAAUACAAAUAUCAUAUUUUGGCA